CUUCAGCCUGGUUCCGGUGAGUUCCGUUGGCCCGGAGAGGUAUGGCUGCGUCGUCGCUAUGGAGACAGAGAACAGCAUCAGAGCAGUAGCUCACUGUGUUGUUGAUACUGGGGCGGCGUAGCCUAGUGGUUAGCGCGUUGGACCAGUAACCGCAAAGGUUUCUAGAUCAAAUCCCAGAGCUGACAAGGUAAAAGGUGUCGUUCUGCCCCUGAACAAGGCAGUUAACCCACUGUUCCUAGGCCGUCAUUGAAAAUAAGAAUUUGUUCUAAACUGACUUGCCUAGUUAAAUAAAGGAUAAAUAAAUUAAAAUUGAGCAUCUUGAUCUUAAUGAGGAAGCUAAAUUGAAUGAUUUUACAAGGCUAGAGGAGCCUUCAUACGGUCCAGGAAACAAUGGCGUGAAAAGGGCAUAAAGAACAGCAGAUAACAGUCUUUAGAACUUUGUUUGAGGCUUCUACUGUGAGGUGAAUGAGAGGGGGCUGAAUGAGAGGGGGCUGAAUGAGAGGGGGCUGAAUGAGAGGGGAUUGAGGUGUCUGGCCGAGUGCCACAGGCUGAAUGAGAGGGGGCUGAAUGAGAGGGGAUUGAGGUGUCUGGCCGAGUGCCACAGGCUGAAUGAGAGGGGGCUGAAUGAGAGGGGAUUGAGGUGUCUGGCCGAGUGCCACAGGCUCGUGACGUGCAGUCACAACAGAGUUAGCUCUCGUUCCAUUGCUUUUCUACAGACAAUGGAAUUCUCCGGGUUGUAACUUUAUUGAAGAUUUAUGAUAAAAACAUCCUAAAGAUUGAUUCUAUACUUAGUUUGACAAGUUUCUACGACCUGUAAUAUAACUUUUUGAACUUUUCGUC
ensembl:lncRNA